rnacentral:misc_RNA from 1 species
UUGAAUAUAGGCGAGGGUUGUCGCUGGCCUCUCGGGGCAUGUGCACACCCGAGCCAUCCCCAACAAACACCGUGGGCCUUCGGGCCCGCGUAUAUUUACUCUGAAUGUGUAUAGAAUGUAAACCAUUUGUUUGCCCUGAAAAAGCAAACGAAAAAAAAGUA